rnacentral:rRNA from 1 species
UGCAAGUCGAACGGUAGAGUAGCAAUACUUGAGAGUGGCGAACGGGUGAGUAAUAUAUCGGAACGUGCCCAGUCGUGGGGGAUAACGUAGAGAAAUUUACGCUAAUACCGCAUACGAUCUACGGAUGAAAGCGGGGGAUUCGCAAGAACCUCGCGCGAUUGGAGCGGCUGAUAUCAGAUUAGGUUGUUGGUGAGGUAAAAGCUCACCAAGCCGACGAUCUGUAGCUGGUUUGAGAGAACGACCAGCCACACUGGGACUGAGACACGGCCCAGACUCCUACGGGAGGCAGCAGUGGGGAAUUUUGGACAAUGGGCGAAAGCCUGAUCCAGCAAUGCCGCGUGUGGGAAGAAGGCCUUCGGGUUGUAAACCACUUUUGUACGGAACGAAACGGUUCGCUUUAAUACAGUGGGCUAAUGACGGUACCGUAAGAAUAAGCACCGGCUAACUACGUGCCAGCAGCCGCGGUAAUACGUAGGGUGCGAGCGUUAAUCGGAAUUACUGGGCGUAAAGCGUGCGCAGGCGGUUAUAUAAGACAGUUGUGAAAUCCCCGGGCUCAACCUGGGAAUUGCAUCUGUGACUGUAUAGCUAGAGUACGGUAGAGGGGGAUGGAAUUCCGCGUGUAGCAGUGAAAUGCGUAGAUAUGCGGAGGAACACUGAUGGCGAAGGCAAUCCCCUGGACCUGUACUGACGCUCAUGCACGAAAGCGUGGGGAGCAAACAGGAUUAGAUACCCUGGUAGUCCACGCCCUAAACGAUGUCAACUGGUUGUUGGGUGCAUUAGUACUCAGUAACGAAGCUAACGCGUGAAGUUGACCGCCUGGGGAGUACGGCCGCAAGGUUGAAACGCAAAGGAAUUGACGGGGNNCCGCACAAGCGGUGGAUGAUGUGGUUUNAUUCGAUGCACGCGAAAAACCUUACCUACCUUUGACAUGUAUGGAAUUCGCCNGANAUGGCUUANUGCUCGAAAGA